CAUUGUUUUUGCAAUAUUUACGUCAAUAGCUCAUUUUGGGGGCAAAUUUUCAUUUGUAAGCCAACGGGAUGUCGGUUGUUGGCUUUUGAUUUCCUUGAGUUAGCUAUCGUAUUUGCAUGGAGCCUAAUAUGUUUUACAGUUGUAAUAGUACUUUACCUCUAAGGAGGUGGAAUUUCUCUGAGUUUCUGUAUUUCUUUCUCUCUUUUUUUGGUUACAAGGGGUGCCUAAAAGGCACAGCAAAAAGGAAAAAAGAAACCAAAUGAUAAAGCAAUUGCCGGUUCUUCUGGCCUUAGAAUCAGAACUCAAAUCAUCUAGGAAAGCCUGGGCAGCAUGAGCAGGAGGAUUAUCGAAGCAGACCAAACCAAGCUCAUGAGAAAUGCACUUUAUGUAUUUCUUUCUGUUUGGAAGAUUUAUCCUCUCAAUUGCUUCUGUGAAUUUUCUUUUGGUAAAGGUGCGUUGACUAAAUUUAGUGUAACAUUUUAUUCUUUUCUUAUUAUUAUCUAAAACUAUGUAAUUUAGAUCACCAUAUUUUAUCAUUGAAGUUGCAUGCAGGUCACUGAUUUUUUAUUUAACAAAUGCAAUCACAAUCUUGAAGGUUUCAAUCCUUUGUGUUAGAUCAAGGUGAGUUUGUGAGAAAGAAUAUAUGGAGUAAGUAUUUAAAAUUUCUUAUGGAAUUGCUAAAAUACUUUACUUAUUAAUUUUAGCAUCUAAAAUUGGUGUUGUCCUUCAUGAUUCCUAGGAUUGCUCAGGUGAAGAGUGUUACUGGCAGCUAGAUAUGGUGUGUUAUUCUUGGGGUAUCAGAAAGUUUUUUAUUGGGUUUUUAAAUAUUCCCUUAAAUGUAAUUCGUGUUUGUAUACUCAGGUUGGUACUUUUGGGGAAGCUGUGUAGCUCAAGCAAAGACUAGAGCUUGGACAGAUUGGUGACAAGGGUGCAGUAAAGAUGAGUAUUGUUAGAACUCUGUUGUAUUUUUUUAUCUGAUUUAAGUUCCAAUUUUGCUUUUAUAAAGUAUGCAUAAGUCUAAUAGAGACUUCAAUUAGAUAUAAGUAUUGAUGUGAGCUCAAUUAGUUUAUUAUAUUGAUAGUAAUGAAUUGAGGUUCUCCAUUUUUCAGAUGUAGGUGAUUUUUUUUUUCCGCUGUGAAUAUAUUGCCUGCCUUUUUAUUUUGGUUUUGAAUAGGGAGGGUUUUAUUAGAGAGACAUAGAGAAAGGAACAUUAGGGAGGGAGUGCAGAAUCAAAAAUGGCUCUAGAGACGGUGGAGGGUGGCGGACUAAUCAUACUGUUGCUUUGGUCUUUGACCUCACUCACCAACUUAUACACCAUGGUAUGGUAUGAAUCUAUUCUUCUACUGCUACGGCUCUCAGAGACACUAUAGUUAAGCGUAGCGAUGUACUAUUUAGCCUUGUAAUUUUCUUUUUAUUUGAAAAAUUUACUUGUUAACUGUUGUAGCACUGCGGUGCUAUACAUUCAAUAUUUAUGUCAUAGCUGCUCUUCACAGCAGUUUUCAAGUGAAAAAUUUCUGUAGUACUCAUAUGCAAGCUUCUUGAUUUCAGGAUGUCCAUGACAGGUUUCGAACCGAAUCUCAUUCCCAGGCUACAGGCUGUUUUAAUGAGUGUUUCUUAUUAUCACUUGCAUCGUGCAAAGCAUGUGUGGUUAUGGAUGAUGAACUGAAUAUUCUACCAAUUUCAUCUCACAUAAGGUCAAUUACCCCAGUUUCAGUUAAAGAGGUAACUUUGUUUUUGGUAGAACAUGUUUUGUGAUAUGCAAAAUUGCAAGCUAAAAUUAUUUAAUUUGUCUGUAAUGUGCAUGUUCAAUGUGCUUUAUUUAUUCACCGUUCUUAUUGGGGUAGCUUGUAGGAGAAAGUUUAUUUAAUUUGUCUGUAAUGUGCUUGUUAUGAUGAAGCUUUAAUAACUGAUUUGUUAUUCUGGAUCAACAGGACUCUGAAGGGAUAUCAGAGUCAGAAAGGGAAUUGAAGGAUCUAAAAGAACAACUAAGUGAUGCCUGCCCUGUCGGCCCUUUAAUAAAGAAAUGUUGCACGCUUGACCAGGUAUACAUCUCUUGUCUGACUGUUACCUGUAAUCUUUGAACAGGGUAAUGCUGUUGCUACAUUUCUAGAUGCAAUAUUGGAUAAGGCACUCCGUACUGUUGCCUUGCGUGCUGCUUGUGGCCGUGGGAAGUCAGCUGCACUUUGCUAUUGCUGCAGAGUAAUUGCAGGGUAUUGAAAUUGUUUGAAUCUUAAAACAUACAAAUGCAUGCAACAAAUUUCAUCUUGGAAGCUGAUUAUUGUUGGAUAUUUAUACGUUUGCAGGUAUUCAAAUAUCUUUGUAAUUGCACUGAACCCCGAGAACUUAAAGACCUUGUUCGAAUUUGUUUACAAGGGUUUGGAUGCAUUGGAUUAUAAGGUGAAGUAUCUCUCUAUUCCCAUGGGUGGCAAAGAUAGGCAAAUGAUUGUCAGAGACAGGGGCAAGGUUGGAUUCAUAAAAGAUUUCUUGGGAGGGCCGAACAUCCACUUGUACUUUAAGAUGACCAAUAUUUUAAAACAGAAGUAAAUAAUUACACUGAAUGCGUUCAGGGAAUUUAAUGUACCACCAUAUGCCUUUUCAACCAUCAACAUAAAAGAAACUGCUGUUUUAUUGGUACACCGGCUUUCAAAGUACUUUAAAUUUAUUUCUCAACCAAAUGAAAGUUCUCACGUCAUUUCUUAUAAAAUACUUGUUCUGCUGUUUCUUACUGAUGGAUUUUCAGAAACACUAAUUAAUAUUGAGCGAUGACUGAUGUAUAUUUUUUUUCUCUUCCCCGAUCUUGCAUGUGUUAGUUGUCUUCAGAAUGAAUGAAGGGGUUCUCAUUUUGCAUGCACGGAUCAAGAGCCUUAUCAUUAACAGACCAAUUCCGGUAUUGGUUUUUUAUUUGAGGAAACCAAUUGGUAAGUCCAUAAGUGUUUUUCAUCUCAGCCCUCCAUUUGCAUUCUCUAAUCUGGGCCAUUGGUUCUAGGUAUAUUGGGUAAAAACCCUAACCUCUCUUCCUUAGCUGUUUUCUAUCGCGAGAGAGACCUGUCCACAGAGAGAGGGAGAGCGACGCCACCCAGCUCAGGGCUCCUCCGCCGCCGUCGGACCAGCACUGGACGAUCGGCGACCGUCGUUCAACUUGCCUCUCUCUUCUUUACUUCCUCCUGCCCACCGAUUCGUUAUACAACCAUCAUAGAGGGAGAUCGAACCAGCUGAAGCAAGACUGUUCGUUGUUUUCCGACGGCGACGGCGACAGCAACAGCGAGGGGUAGGGUUCUUCUCCUCCCGUUUUCUUCGAUUCCAUGUCUUUAAUCUUUUGAUUCGUAAACCCUUUCUUCUGUUUUUGGGUUUUCACGGCGUAUCUCCAGCGACCGAGUUCUUGACAUUUCCGGCCUCUCCUCCAUGUUCCGACGAGCAAGGUUACUUCUUGACGGACCCAGCGGCCGAGUGGAGGAGGUGGUUGGAGUUUGGUAGCAGAUGGAAUUUUUCUGGUCGGGACAGUAAGAGGCAGAGGGCUGCAGGUCGAUCUCUGGCAAGGAGAGGUUGCUGGGUUCUAGUGGUGAGCUGAUUGGAGGUAAGGAUUACGUUUUGAUCGGCUGUGUUGCAGUUAUUGAGUUUAGUUGUGGCUGAAAUCGUUGUUGUGGGUGUUGUUUGUCAAGAACUUGGUGUUUUGAAGAAUACGAGGAGGUCAUGGCCAAUUUCCAGCAAGUGGCCGGAAUCCGGCAAUCGAUUCCGGCGAAGGAGCAGUUUUUCCGGCAGUAGCCGAUGAGGUAGUUUUCGAGGACUUUCUUUCUAAUUCGAACUGUAGUUCCGAAAAGGGGAAAAUUCAAUAGGGAAGGUAGUUCUGCGUUUUCGGGUUACAGGUAUAAUUAUUGAUAUGUUUUCUUUCAAAGCAAGUGUUUAAUUCUUGACCAAAAAAAAAAAAGCAAGUGUUUAAUUAGAAUUACGUUGGGGUUUAUAAGGUGUAUUUGAUCCAAUCGUUAUUGUACUAAAGCAUGUUGCUUUUCAAUUUUUGGUGGGUUUUUGUGGGUUCAGAUUAUAUAUGGCGUUGAUAGUGCAAUGUGCAUUGGUUAUAAAUUGGGUGUUUGUUUUCGAAAGUUUGUGAAUAUAAAAAGCUGGUCUUAAAUUGGUUUAUGGAGUUGAUCUUCUAUAGCCAUUGAUGAUAGGAACUGCACUGGUUAGCCUAUAUAGGUGAUCAGAUGUUGAUGAUAUACUGAUUUUUGUAAACUUUUCUCUAGAAAUGUAGAGAGGAGAUGAGAUUUGUGUAUAACGUGCUUUAUUAUCAAAUGAUGUGGAAUGUCCUUUUGCAAUUUUAAGUUGGGAAUGAGUGUUUGCUAUGCAUCAUCGUGGUGUUGUAUCUCUCUGUUUACCUACUUUUAGUGGUGUGUGUACACAGUUCUUGAUCUGUAUCUAUGCCUGAAACAGAGCAAUCACAUAGUGGCACUCAAAGUCCUCUUCAAGAACCAGUUGCAACAAUCUCAGGUUGAGCAUCAGCUUCGCCCGGAAGUUGAAAUACAAAGUCAUCUUUGCCAUCCCAAUAUUCUACGUCUUUAUGGCUACUUUUAUGAUCAGGUAUAGUGCUCAUAGGUGGUUUAUGUUUGCACCACAUUGAACGUCUCCUAGUUAAUGGAACCACGAUGGUACGAGUCACUCACCCGCAGUGGAAUUUUGAUUAUUGCAAAAACGAGUUUAUUUGAUAUUGGAAUAUGCCGGCAAAGGUGAACUAUACAAGGAACUCCUAAAGUGUAAAUACUUUAGUGAAAGACGUGCAGCCACGGUAAGUUUUUGUGUGGUGACGAAUUCAUUCUCUUUCAGUUGUUUAUAGAAUAGAAAUUCUUAAGUUUUUUUUCGUAUGAGGUAUUUGCAGUAUGUUGCAUCAUUGGCCCGAGCACUUAAUUCAUCUAGAUAUCAAACCAGAAAACCUUCUCAUUGGUCAACAGGUGCUGAAUACCUUACUAUGCUGUUAUAUGUUUCCUUUUUAUUACUUAUUGAUGCAUACUUGUUGCUUAUCAUGUCAAUGUGGAUUUCUAAUGUCAGGGUGAACUCAAGAUAGCAGAUUUGGGGUGGUCAGUGCAUACAUUCAAUCACAGUCGAACCAUGUGUGGCACCCUUGAUUACCCGACUCCUGAGAUGGGUAUGUUAAAAGACAAGAAAUAGUGUUUUGAAAACAAGUGAUUUUAUGUGCUCUAAUGUCUCUGUAUUUCUUAUCCUUUUCUUUUGGUUCUAUCCAUUUUUUUUUCAUUUUUGGUGUAAAGCCGAUGAGAUAUCUUUGAGUGAGAAUCUAUGGAGGAUUUGUUAAACAUGUGCCUGGUUGAUUUUGGGCGGGAUCCAAUUUGUUAGGUUUUAAGGUGUAUUCUUGAUGUUGUUAUGCUUGACUUUAUUGGCUUUUGUGUUUGCAUUUGAAUUUUUAUUGUGUUUUCAUUUGAAUUUUUUUUGGUGGCAUGAAAUUUGGUGUUUGAAUGCAAAGAGUGCAAUAUAAAUUUUCCCCAAGACGGAUUCGUGGGACUAUAGAUUUGGGAAGUUUCCCAAUCCUCUGCUCAGAUCGAAUAGAUAAGUUGAGUGCUUUUGAAUUUUCAAAUUUUUUCAUUCCGUUUUUGUGUGGUUUUUAUACUGUUUGAGAUUGAGCUUAUCAUUUCAAGAUGGAUAACCGUUCCCAUUACCUGAUUUGAGCUGAUUCGGCGUGUUCUGCUGUCUACGACCUCAAUGAUCGAUUCCAGUAUAUAGCUGGCCGAUUUCAUUUUCAUUUUUUAUCAGGUAAAGUUACUACAGUUUACAUGCAAUAUACUCAAAUAAAGAAAACUGUGUUUCUUUCUUUUUGAGUUUCAAUCUGAUUUUCGUUUCUUUCUUCUUUUUGCUACCGAGUACCGCCGAAUACUAAUUGGAGAGAUAACUGGACCAGGCUGGAAACAAAAGUUGGUGAAGGUAAGUACUAGCUCAAUUGCUUUGAUCUUCAGCAGUCACUAUCUUUUCAAACGUAGGCAUUGUUAUGCUAUUGUUUUUAAUGCUUUUACCUGGCUAAUUAUCUUUUUAACUUAAAUAGGUUCUAUUAAACUUUUCAAGUCUGUAGAUUUAAAUGAAAGUUUGCAAGGCUGGGAGAAAACUAUAGUUCAUUUUUUUUUGUCUCUUAAAAAAACAAUGCCUACACUUAGCUGAAUAAAUACUAGACAUUUAAUCUUCACAAGUGCAUUUUCCUAAUUAUGAUCAUGAAAAAAUAUAUAUUGCUUUGAUUAUGAGCUAAACAGUUUCAUUUCUGCACGACAACGGUUAAACAUACAAAGACAAGCACUCUCGAAGAUUGAGCUCGACUAUGGCUACUAAUGUUUUGAACAAAUAUGACGUUGACAUGAUUUUUUGAACCAUUAGGAGUGAAUCAAUUGUAAAAGACAUGCUCAAUGAUAUAGUAAAUGAUAAACUGAUUGCAAGGUUGGUGCGUUUAAACAUAGCGGGUUUUGGACUUCUGCAUUUCAAUUUGAAAUUAAUUAUGAUUUUUUGUUUGUGUUUUGGUCAUCUUCCUGUCUCUGUUUUAAAAAAAGCUUGGGUCUGAGUUCGGGAUUCAAUAAUGUUUCAUGUCCGUAUGUUGUCUACUGCAUCAAAGUGACCUGCGUACCAUCAAUCACGUGCUAAACGUGUAAAAACUCUAAACAAAUAUAUAUCUUUCUUACCAUUGUUUUUGCAAUAUUUACGUCAAUAGCUUAUUUUGGGGGCAAAUUUUCAUUUGUAAGCCAACGGGAUGUCAAUUGUUGGCUUUUGAUUUCCUUAACAUACCUAUCGUAUUUGCAUGGAGCCUAAUAUGUUUUACAGUUGUAAUAGUACUUUACUUCUGAGGAGGUGGAAUUUCUCUGAGUUUCUGUAUUUCUUUCUCUCUGUUUUUGGUUACAAGGGGUGCCUAAAAGGCACAGCAAAAAGGAAAAAAGAAACCAAAUGCUAAACCGGUUCUUGUGGCCUUAGAAACAGAACUCAAAUCAUCCAGGAAAGCCUGGGCAGCAUGAGCAAGGAGGAUUAUCGAAGCAGACCAAACCAAGCUCAUGAGAAAUGCACUUUAUGUAUUUCUUUCUGUCUGGAAG
rnacentral:lncRNA from 1 species